rnacentral:rRNA from 1 species
GAUGAACGCUGGCGGCGUGCCUAAUACAUGCAAGUCGAGCGAACAGAUGAGGAGCUUGCUCCUCUGACGUUAGCGGCGGACGGGUGAGUAACACGUGGAUAACCUACCUAUAAGACUGGGAUAACUUCGGGAAACCGGAGCUAAUACCGGAUAAUAUAUUGAACCGCAUGGUUCAAUAGUGAAAGACGGUUUUGCUGUCACUUAUAGAUGGAUCCGCGCCGCAUUAGCUAGUUGGUAAGGUAACGGCUUACCAAGGCAACGAUGCGUAGCCGACCUGAGAGGGUGAUUCGGCAAACUGGAAACUGAGAACGGUCCCAAACUCUUAGGGAAGGCACCGUAGGGAAAUCUUCCGAAUUGGGCGAAGGCUUGACGAGGCAACGCGGGUUGGUGAAGGAAGUCCUGGGAUUCUAAAACUCUGUUAUUAGGGAAGAACAAAUGUGUAAGUAACUAUGCACGUCUUGACGGUACCUAAUCAGAAAGCCACGGCUAACUACGUG